CAGCAGCCGCGGGAAAACGAAGGGUGCAAGCGUUACUCGGAAUUACUGGGCGUAAAGCGUGCGUAGGUGGUGGUUUAAGUCCGUUGUGAAAGCCCUGGGCUCAACCUGGGAAUUGCAGUGGAUACUGGGUCACUAGAGUGUGGUAGAGGAUAGUGGAAUUUCCGGUGUAGCAGUAAAAUGCGUAGAGAUCGGAAGGAACAUCUGUGGCGAAGGCGACUAUCUGGGCCAACACUGACACUGAGGCACGAAAGCGUGGGGAGCAAACAGGAUUAGAUACCCGUGUAGUCCCUGUCUCUUAUAC
rnacentral:rRNA from 1 species